CUACGUGCCAGCAGCCGCGGUAAUACGUAGGGGGCAAGCGUUAUCCGGAUUUACUGGGUGUAAAGGGAGCGUAGACGGAGUGGCAAGUCUGAAGUGAAAACCCUGGGCUUAACCUGGGGACUGCUUUGGAAACUGUUAAUCUAGAGUGUUGGAGAGGUAAGUGGAAUUCCUGGUGUAGCGGUGAAAUGCGUAGAUAUCAGGAAGAACACCGGAGGCGAAGGCGGCUUACUGGACAAUAACUGACGUUGAGGCUCGAAAGCGUAGGGAUCAAACAGGAUUAGAUACCCUGGUAGUCCACGCUGUAAACGAUGAAUACUAGGUGUCGGGGAGCAAAGCUUUUCGGUGCCGUCGCAAACGCAAUAAGUAUUCCACCUGGGGAGUACGUUCGCAAGAAUGAAACUCAAAGGAAUUGACGGGGACCCGCACAAGCGGUGGAGCAUGUGGUUUAAUUCGACGCAACGCGAAGAACCUUACCAGGUCUUGACAU
rnacentral:rRNA from 1 species